GGAUAACUACCCUUUAGGACUGGGAUAACCCUGGGAAACUGGGGCUAAUACCGGAUAGGCAAUUUUUCCUGUAAUGGUUCUUUGUUUAAAUGUUUUUUCGCCUAAGGAUGGGUCUGCGGCCGAUUAGGUAGUUGGUUAGGUAAUGGCUUACCAAGCCGUUGAUCGGUACGGGUUGUGAGAGCAAGAGCCCGGAGAUGGAACCUGAGACAAGGUUCCAGGCCCUACGGGGCGCAGCAGGCGCGAAACCUCCACAAUGUGAGAAAUCGCGAUGGGGGGAUCCCAAGUGCCAUUCUUAACGGGAUGGCUUUUCAUUAGUGUAAAAAGCUUUUGGAAUAAGAGCUGGGCAAGACCGGUGCCAGCCGCCGCGGUAACACCGGCAGCUCUAGUGGUAGCAACUUUUAUUGGGCCUAAAGCGUCCGUAGCCGGUUUAAUAAGUCUCUGGUGAAAUCCUGUAGCUUAACUGUGGGAAUUGCUGGAGAUACUAUUAGACUUGAGACCGGGAGAGGUUAGAGGUACUCCCAGGGUAGAGGUGAAAUUCUGUAAUCCUGGGAGGACCGCCUGUUGCGAAGGCGUCUAACUGGAACGGUUCUGACGGUGAGGGACGAAAGUUAGGGGCGCGAACCGGAUUAGAUACCCGGGUAGUCCUAACUGUAAACGAUGCGGACUUGGUGUUGGGGUGGCUUUGAGCUGUUCCAGUGCCGAAGGGAAGCUGUUAAGUCCGCCGCCUGGGAAGUACGGUCGCAAGACUGAAACUUAA
rnacentral:rRNA from 1 species